UUCCCUAAGCUGUAGAAUAGACU
rnacentral:piRNA from 1 species